rnacentral:rRNA from 1 species
CUGAGACAAAGGACCAGACUUCUACGGGAAGGCAGCAGUGAGGAAUAUUGGUCAAUGGAGGAAACUCUGAACCAGCUAUGCCGCGUGUACGGAAGACAGUCUUUUAGAUUGUAAACUACUUUUGCAUAGAAAUAAAAGUUACUACGUGAUAGUAACCUGAAGGUACUAUGCGAAUAAGUGUCGGCUAAUUUCGUGCCAGCAGCCGCGGUAAUACGAAAGACACAAGCGUUAUCCGGAUUUAUUGGGUUUAAAGGGUGUGUAGGUUGUUUAUUAAGUCAGUAGUGAAAGCUUACAGCUUAACUGUAAAAUUGCUAUUGAUACUGAUAAUCUUGAGUAAGAUUGGAGCAUUUGGAAUGUAUGGUGUAGCGGUGAAAUGCAUAGAUAUCAUACAGAACACCAAUAGCGAAGGCAGGAUGCUAAAUCUUCACUGACGCUGAGGCACUAAAGCGUGGGGAGCAAACAGGAUUAGAUACCCUGGUAGUCCACGCCCUAAACGAUGAUCACUAGCUAUUGGAAAAACUAUAUUCAGUGGCUAAGCUAAAGCGAUAAGUGAUCCACCUGGGAAGUACGAUCGCAAGAUUGAAACUCAAAGGAAUUGACGGGGUUCCGCACAAGCGGUGGAGCAUGUGGUUUAAUUCGAUGAUACGCGAGGAACCUUACCAAGGCUUAAAUGUAUUACGAAUAAGCUGGAAACAACUUAGUCUAUAAGACGUAAUACAAGGUGCUGCAUGGUUGUCUUCAGUUCGUGCUGUGAAGUGUUGGGUUAAGUCCUAUAACGAGCGCAACCCCUAUUGUUAGUUGCCAGCGGGUAAAGCCGGGGACUCU